GGGCCCAUAGCUCAGCUGGAAGAGCCGCCGGCUCAUAACCGGAAGGUCCCAGGUUCGAGGCCUGGUGGGCCCACGA
rnacentral:tRNA from 1 species